AAUUAGUAUAUCUAACACGUAAUUUAAAUGUGAAUGUUUGUCCUCUGAAAAAAAGGAAAUAUUGAAUGAAUUGAUAGUAAAUUUUGAGAUUUUACUUUUGCUUGAUAGCUUCAGUACACCUACUCAUUGGAACUAAUGCUAGUGAUAUCUUGGUUUCGUUUGGGAAGUUGGCUAUUUUAAUUUUUAAUUAUUUGAGUAAGCUAAAAUAUUUGUAUUUGGAAAGAUGGUUAGAAUUUUUGUAGUUGGAUGUGAUGUUUGUGAGGGAAAAGUAAAAUGAUUAUGGAUUUGAUGCAUCAUUUUGUCUUAUUAGUUAUUUUAGCGUAUUUUGUCUUUUUUGUGAAUUUUAGCCAAAAAAAAGCCCAAUUUUGGGCAGCCCAAUUUUGGGCUUCCCAAACACCCCAAAACAUUAACAGGAAGGGGACAAUGGUGAUUGUUAUUAUGAAUGGGGUGACAAGAUUGAAAGUUUGAUUCUUGCGGAUGAUGAUGAGAGUCUUAUCUCAUUCAUGACAAGCCCGCCUUUUGCAGAUGGCACAGCUACGUAUUCCAUAUUCAUUCUUUUAAAUAAUAUAUAUGUAUUGUUGAGGCUGUGAAAUGUGCCACUGCAUUGCUGGAAGGGAGGUUGGGCAUAGAUCCAAAAAAUGUUAUAGAUGGUUACCACCUGCUGCAUCAUGCCAUUAUGUCUUCAUCUUAUGACUUAGCUCAAUUGUUUCUUCACUGCGGAGCUCGUACGGAUAUCACAUGCCUUUAUCACUUAAAUAAAGCGUACGAUGGGAUGAUCCCGCUUGAACUAGCCCUUUAUAAAGUGAGAGAGAGGCUUUGGCCAUGUACAAGUUGGUUGCAGGGUUCACCAGGGAUGUUGAAGAGUUAGCUUACCAUUAUGCCACGGAAGGAAAACUUGUUGAGUUGGCUGUCUUGCUGGUUGUGGCUUGAGAAAAGGUUUUGGUUCCCAUCACAUUUCAUGGAAAUAAUGGUGCCGUUUUAAAUGGAAGUAUGACAAUCCAUGAAUGUCUUAAAAAUCAAUUUGUGUCUCUAAUUAACGAGGAUAUCAACCUUAUGGGUCAAGUUAAACAUGAGAAAUUAACUCAAAUUCACAACAAGAAGACAAUUAUGAAGUUGGCUAUGGUAUUGCUUGAAGUUUUUGAGAGGGCUGGUAAUAGUAUUGAGGAAUAUCAUCAGCUACAACUACAACAACCUGAUAUGGAUAUCUGAGCUUCCUCAUGUGGAUAUAAGCUGAUGUUUGUAAGUUGUUAAGGUGUAGAGAGAACAUAUGGAGAAAGAUGUUGCUCUGAGGCUUGUGGAAGCAAGCUUUAACUUGAAGGCUGGAGACUUUGAUUUUAGCAUUAGAGACUGGUUUGAGAGCCUAAUAUUUAACGUUUGAAUGUCUUUUCUGGAUUGUGUUUGUUUUUUUUUUUUAUGCACAUUUAUUGAUCAUCCUUUGUGGUUCAGUAUAACUAAACUAUUAUGUCAUUGAAUGGCUAAUUGACACUUGGGAGUACCUUUCUUCCUUGACAGGAUCAUUUCCUACAAUUCUGCAAUGACCUCUACCAAGUACAUAGACACUCGAUUAGAAGAUAAGUCGUCUCAAUUGUGGAGCCCUCGUUUGCCCAUGCAGCAUCAAACAAAUGCGUUUUUUCCCCCAAGGGUUAGAAAAUGAUAUUUGUUUAGUUUUUUGCUAUUAUUUUCGCUGGUUCAAGUAUUGCUAGGAAUCUUGUUUCUUGGACGCUUUGUGCUAUAACACACAGCAUUUUUCGCCUUCUUUUUUUUCUUAUGAUACGGUUUGCAACAAUUUCAUAUCACAUUAUAAGAACAUGAAUUUGUUUCAGAAAGGAGCUGUUUAUGAAAGUUGUGAUUAUUUUUUUUAUCUAUAACACGAUGCAAAAUGUUUUAAUGAUUUGCAUUUUUCAUUUACAAUUCUAUAUCUAUGUAUAUUUAUUAUAAUAUGUAUACCUUGUUCGUCUCGUAUUCGAGCAGAAAGAAAUACCUGGUGAUGGUAAUUAGUCAUCAGUCUUGACUACCCGUUUUGACAACACCUGUGCUUUAUCCUCUAUGGUGAAGUCAAAUAAUAAAAUUCAAGUCCCAAAAUCCAUCCCUGGUUCUCAGUAUUUUCUACAGGUUUGGAUGUUCAAGUGAAGAAGAGAAUGAAAGCAAUAGAACAUAAUGGGCCCAAAUGUUUGUCAAGGGAGAAGUUUGUGUAUACUGCAAUGUUGAUCAAGAGGGGAAUAAGAAUUGCUUGAAUCUUUUGGGGACCGGCUUUGGUGGUGCUUGGAGGCCUUACAAAUCUGUAGAAUCUGGAAGACUACCUUCUCAAAUGAGAAGGCUUUUGCAACUGUAUGUAUUUAAAUAUGGAAGAUUACCUGCUCAAAUGUGAAGGCUUAUGCAUGUAUGCUUGUCUGCGCGUGUACAUGUGCAUUUGCUUUUUGAUGGAUCUUGAUGGAUCAAUGACGUUAUAACAAUGUAAAUUUUUUUCCCUUUCUCUUUUCUUCUAGUUCUAUAUUAAACUCUAUCCCCCAUUAGUAUUUAUCUUUUCUAAUCUUUUUAUGUGACCUUUGAUAAAUUUUUGGUGAUUAAGGAUGCUUAUAAUCUUCCUUU